GCAAAAAAAAAAAAAAAAAAAAAAUCAAGAAAGAGGCAAAAGGUUGGUGUAUCAGAAUUAAGGGAGAAGUAGCAGCAAGAUUAUCACUGGAAACAAAAACAGGUCCCAGAGGAAUAACUUGGAGGUGUCGUAACGUGGAGAGACGUGCUGUCACACAUGGUAGACGAGAAGCUCGAGGAGCUGUGCAACCGCCGUGCAAUUUCAGUGCUUGGUGGAUGUAAAACACCGCUGCUGCCUGAGGAAAGGAGCUCCCUCCCAAGACAAGGGGAGAGUAACUAAUAGGUAUUCAACAGGACGUGAAAGUAAAAGAAAAGCCGAAAAAAGGAUUACUUCUCUAAAAGAGCUAUUGUUUCCUGGGAAAUGGGAGAUCAAAUCGAUGUGAGGAAUUUGGAGUUAAAGAUUUGAAAUGUUUUUGGGAGGAGAGAAGUUACAUUAUACUGGAGGAUAUCUGCCCGAUGAAUGAACCACACGAAUACUAUGCAGCAGAAUUUCAGUGAUGAGGGUAAGUGAAG